UACAGAGGUGGCAAGCGUUGUUCGGAAUUACUGGGCGUAAAGGGCGAGUAGGCGGCCUUCUAAGUCAGACGUGAAAUCCCCCGGCUUAACCUGGGAACUGCGUCUGAUACUGGGAGGCUUGAGUAUGGGAGAGGGAUGUAGAAUUCCAGGUGUAGCGGUGAAAUGCGUAGAUAUCUGGAGGAAUACCGGUGGCGAAGGCGGCAUCCUGGACCGGCAUUGACGCUGAGGCGCGAAAGCCAGGGGAGCAAACGGG
rnacentral:rRNA from 1 species